AACUAGUUUAAUUAUUUGUUUACAACAAUAUAGUUUGAAUAGUUAAACAACAAAAUUAAUUUAAUAUCGAUGAAAACUUCUAAUUAUAUAGUUUUAUUCGUCAUUAUUGUAAGUAGCUUUGCCUACGAUAAUAAAUGGUCAGAUAAGCAAAAAGUUUCAAAACGUAUUAAAAGAAUUAAACAAAAGUUGGACAACUUUAAACAAUUGGCAAUUUUGUCACGUAAAAUAUGUACAGCACAAAUGAAUAACUGUUAUGACGACACGAAUUUGGAAAGUGAACUUUCAAUGCAUAAAGAAAACGGAUGUGUACAGACUAAGAAAUCGGUUUAUUUGUAUUUUAUUAGUUGUGUUGGUGUAUUAUUA